UUUGUGUUCCGAACUUUUUCACACUUUGUGGAGGGUCGUGGAUAGUGUUCUGACCCAUGGUUCGAACCCCGAGAUUGGAGGUUUAAAACCUAGCACCAAAAUUUGAAAAGUCGGAUUUUUGGUCAGCUCUCGGGUAGCCUCAGCAGGGCUGUGUACCGGUACAGGGUUGAUGGCUAUACCGGUACACGCUGAUGGCUGUACCGGUACGGGGCUUGUGUACCGGUACGCAGGCAGAUCUUGUGCCAACCCGAGGCUCGGGUUGGGCUAGUGCGUGGAAUGUGUACCGGUACACAAACCCGUGUACCGAUACGCAGUACAGAAUGGGCUGUUUCGGGGAGAGAUGUAUUUGCAAUUAUUGCAACCUCUAUAAAAGUCACCCCAGCCCCCAUGGCUGCUUUUUUGAGCCCUAGACCAGAGGAGAUAAGGUGAGCUCUUCCCCCCUUGGUUUCUUUUUCAUUUUUGAGGGAUUUGAGCUAGUUUUGAUCUCUCUUUUCUUCUCCUUCUUGCCUUUUGAUGGUCUACCACCAUUGGAGAAGCUUGGAGAGUUGGAUUGGAGCUUGAUUGAGGAUCAAACUUCAACCCUUGAGGACUUUGAGCUUGUUUUGGAGCUUCUUGAGAGGUUGGUAUCAUGUAUUUUCCUUUUGAUACGUGAUUUGAUGGGUUUUGCUAGUGGAAACCCUAGAUUUUGGAUUCUAGGG
rnacentral:lncRNA from 1 species